UACGAAGGGGGCAAGCGUUGUUCGGAAUUACUGGGCGUAAAGGGCGCGUAGGCGGCUUAUCAAGUCAGGCGUGAAAUUCCCGGGCUCAACCUGGGGGCUGCGCUUGAUACUGAUUGGCUUGAAUGCGGGAGAGGAUAGUGGAAUUCCCAGUGUAGAGGUGAAAUUCGUAGAUAUUCGGAGGAACACCAGUGGCGAAGGCGGCUCACUGGCUCGAUACUGACGCUGAGGUGCGAAAGCGUGGGGAGCAAACAGG
rnacentral:rRNA from 1 species